rnacentral:rRNA from 1 species
UUCCGGUUGAUCCUGCCGGAGGCUACCGCUAUUGGAGUUCGAUUAAGCCAUGCGAGUCGCGAGAAAUUAGAUUCUCGGCGUACCGCUCAGUAACACGUGGGUAACCUGCCCUAUGCUGGAUAAUAACCUCGGGAAACUGAGAAUAAUGAUCCAUAGUUCACUACGCCUGGAACGGUGAGUGGAUGAAAGCCCCGGCGGCAUAGGAUGGGCCUGCGGCGUAUCAGGUUGUAGGGGGUGUAACGUACCCUCUAGCCCUCUACGCGUACGGGUGUUGGGAGACAUAGCCCGGAGAUGGAUUCUGAGACACGAAUCCAGACCCUACGGGGUGCAGCAGGCGCGAAAACUUGGCAAUGCGAGAAAUCGUGACCAGGGAACUCCAAGUGCAUCGGGUAAGACCGGUGCUUUUCUUGACUCUAAAUAGGUCUUGGAAUAAGGGGUGGGUAGGGACGGUGCCAGCCGCCGCGGUAAUACCGGCGCCUCAAGUGGUAGUCGCUUUUAUUGGGCCUAAAACGUCCGUAGCCGGUCUGAUACAUUCGUGGGUAAAUCAACCAGCUCAACUGGUUGAAUUCUGCGAGGACGGUCAGACUUGGGACCGGGAGAGGUGUGGGGUACGCUCAGGGUAGGGGUAAAAUCCUGUCAUCCUGAGCGGACCACCUGUUGCGAAGGCGCCACACUAGAACGGAUCCGACGGUCAGGGACGAAGCCUAGGGGCACGAACCGGAUUAGAUACCCGGGUAGUCCUAGGUGUAAACGCUGUGGACUUGAUGUUGGGGGUGCUCCGAGCACUCUCAGUGUCGAAGCGAAGGUGAUAAGUCCACUGCCUGGGAAGUACGGUCGCAAGGCUGAAACUUAAAGGAAUUGGCGGGGGAGCACCGCAACCUGAGGAUUGUGCGGUUUAAUUGGAUCAACGCCGGA